UCCUCUUCUUCCUUUAGCUCUAUGCUUCUCACUAUUUUUCUCUUAUUUAGAAUAUCUCUUCCUCCCUUCUUCUAUCCCCUAUUUAUAGGAGUGGGGGGCCACGAGAGAAAGGUUGCCACCAUUCCGUCAUACCAUUUUAUCUAAAAGUUGCCACCUUUCAUCAUGUCACUUCACCUAAAAGGUUAUCACUUUUCACAUGUCGUUUGUCAUUUUAUUUAAAAGGGUUUUUCAUAUGUCACUUUAUUUAAAAGGCUUUUUCAUAAGUCACUUUAUUUAAAAGGUUGUCACUUUUCACAUGCCACUUCAUCUAAAAGAUGUCACUUUCAAUUAUGUCAUUUUAUCUAAUAGUUACCACUUUUUAUUAUACCAUUUAAUUUAAAAGGUUCACACCUUUUUCCAUGCCUCUUCAUACUUAUUCUAGCUCCUUCAUCCUCAUCCAUCAUUUUUCUGUUUGACUCUAAA
rnacentral:lncRNA from 1 species